ACACCUACGGGUGGCAGCAGUNGAGAAUUUUUCUCAAUGGGCGCAAGCCUGAAGGAGCGACGCCGCGUGUGGGAUGAAGGGUUUCGAUCCGUAAACCACUGUCAUUUGUGAACAAUGGUUAUCCAUGAAUAAUGGAUGACUUGAUAGUAAUGAAAGAGGAAGGGACGGCUAACUCUGUGCCAGCAGCCGCGGUAAUACAGAGGUCCCGAGCGUUGUUCGGAUUCACUGGGCGUAAAGGGUGCGUAGGUGGCAUGUUAAGUUUGAUGUGAAAGCUCAGGGCUCAACCCUGAAAUGGCAUUGAAUACUAGCGUGCUGGAGGUUUGGAGGGGGGACUGGAAUUCUCGGUGUAGCAGUGAAAUGCGUAGAUAUCGAGAGGAACACCAGUGGCGAAGGCGAGUCCCUGGACAACACCUGACACUGAGGCACGAAAGCUAGGGGAGCAAACAGGAUUAGAUACCCUGGUAGUCCUAGCCCUAAACGGUGCGCAUUUGCUGUAGGAGGAAUCGACCCCUUCUGUGGCGAAGCUAACGCGAUAAAUGCGCCGCCUGGGGAGUACGGUCGCAAGAUUAAAACUCAAAGAAAUUG
rnacentral:rRNA from 1 species